rnacentral:rRNA from 1 species
GUACACAAAAAUGCACAUAUUGUGAGCUCGAUGAGUAGGGCGGGACACGUGGUAUCCUGUCUGAAUAUGGGGGGACCAUCCUCCAAGGCUAAAUACUCCUGACUGACCGAUAGUGAACCAGUACCGUGAGGGAAAGGCGAAAAGAACCCCGGCGAGGGGAGUGAAAAAGAACCUGAAACCGUGUACGUACAAGCAGUGGGAGCCUCUUAAUGGGGUGACUGCGUACCUUUUGUAUAAUGGGUCAGCGACUUAUAUUCUGUAGCAAGGUUAACCGAAUAGGGGAGCCGAAGGGAAACCGAGUCUUAACUGGGCGUUAAGUUGCAGGGUAUAGACCCGAAACCCGGUGAUCUAGCCAUGGGCAGGUUGAAGGUUGGGUAACACUAACUGGAGGACCGAACCGACUAAUGUUGAAAAAUUAGCGGAUGACUUGUGGCUGGGGGUGAAAGGCCAAUCAAACCGGGAGAUAGCUGGUUCUCCCCGAAAGCUAUUUAGGUAGCGCCUCGUGAAUUCAUCUCCGGGGGUAGAGCACUGUUUCGGCAAGGGGGUCAUCCCGACUUACCAACCCGAUGCAAACUGCGAAUACCGGAGAAUGUUAUCACGGGAGACACACGGCGGGUGCUAACGUCCGUCGUGAAGAGGGAAACAACCCAGACCGCCAGCUAAGGUCCCAAAGUCAUGGUUAAGUGGGAAACGAUGUGGGAAGGCCCAGACAGCCAGGAUGUUGGCUUAGAAGCAGCCAUCAUUUAAAGAAAGCGUAAUAGCUCACUGGUCGAGUCGGCCUGCGCGGAAGAUGUAACGGGGCUAAACCAUGCACCGAAGCUGCGGCAGCGACACUAUGUGUUGUUGGGUAGGGGAGCGUUCUGUAAGCCUGUGAAGGUGUACUGUGAGGUAUGCUGGAGGUAUCAGAAGUGCGAAUGCUGACAUAAGUAACGAUAAAGCGGGUGAAAAGCCCGCUCGCCGGAAGACCAAGGGUUCCUGUCCAACGUUAAUCGGGGCAGGGUGAGUCGACCCCUAAGGCGAGGCCGAAAGGCGUAGUCGAUGGGAAACAGGUUAAUAUUCCUGUACUUGGUGUUACUGCGAAGGGGGGACGGAGAAGGCUAUGUUGGCCGGGCGACGGUUGUCCCGGUUUAAGCGUGUAGGCUGGUUUUCCAGGCAAAUCCGGAAAAUCAAGGCUGAGGCGUGAUGACGAGGCACUACGGUGCUGAAGCGACAAAUGCCCUGCUUCCAGGAAAAGCCUCUAAGCAUCAGGUAACAUCAAAUCGUACCCCAAACCGACACAGGUGGUCAGGUAGAGAAUACCAAGGCGCUUGAGAGAACUCGGGUGAAGGAACUAGGCAAAAUGGUGCCGUAACUUCGGGAGAAGGCACGCUGAUAUGUAGGUGAAGCGACUUGCUCGUGGAGCUGAAAUCAGUCGAAGAUACCAGCUGGCUGCAACUGUUUAUUAAAAACACAGCACUGUGCAAACACGAAAGUGGACGUAUACGGUGUGACGCCUGCCCGGUGCCGGAAGGUUAAUUGAUGGGGUUAGCGGUAACGCGAAGCUCUUGAUCGAAGCCCCGGUAAACGGCGGCCGUAACUAUAACGGUCCUAAGGUAGCGAAAUUCCUUGUCGGGUAAGUUCCGACCUGCACGAAUGGCGUAAUGAUGGCCAGGCUGUCUCCACCCGAGACUCAGUGAAAUUGAACUCGCUGUGAAGAUGCAGUGUACCCGCGGCAAGACGGAAAGACCCCGUGAACCUUUACUAUAGCUUGACACUGAACAUUGAGCCUUGAUGUGUAGGAUAGGUGGGAGGCUUUGAAGUGUGGACGCCAGUCUGCAUGGAGCCGACCUUGAAAUACCACCCUUUAAUGUUUGAUGUUCUAACGUGGGCCCCUUACCGGGGUUGCGGACAGUGUCUGGUGGGUAGUUUGACUGGGGCGGUCUCCUCCUAAAGAGUAACGGAGGAGCACGAAGGUUGGCUAAUCCUGGUCGGACAUCAGGAGGUUAGUGCAAUGGCAUAAGCCAGCUUGACUGCGAGCGUGACGGCGCGAGCAGGUGCGAAAGCAGGUCAUAGUGAUCCGGUGGUUCUGAAUGGAAGGGCCAUCGCUCAACGGAUAAAAGGUACUCCGGGGAUAACAGGCUGAUACCGCCCAAGAGUUCAUAUCGACGGCGGUGUUUGGCACCUCGAUGUCGGCUCAUCACAUCCUGGGGCUGAAGUAGGUCCCAAGGGUAUGGCUGUUCGCCAUUUAAAGUGGUACGCGAGCUGGGUUUAGAACGUCGUGAGACAGUUCGGUCCCUAUCUGCCGUGGGCGCUGGAGAACUGAGGGGGGCUGCUCCUAGUACGAGAGGACCGGAGUGGACGCAUCACUGGUGUUCGGGUUGUCAUGCCAAUGGCACUGCCCGGUAGCUAAAUGCGGAAGAGAUAAGUGCUGAAAGCAUCUAAGCACGAAACUUGCCCCGAGAUGAGUUCUCCCUGAGACUUAGAGUCUCCUGAAGGAACGUUGAAGACGACGACGUUGAUAGGCCGGGUGUGUAAGCGCAGCGAUGCGUUGAGCUAACCGGUACUAAUGAACCGUGAGGCUUAACCUU